CCUACGGGUGGCUGCAGUGAGGAAUAUUGGUCAAUGGACGCAAGUCUGAACCAGCCAUGCCGCGUGCAGGAAGACGGCGCUAUGAGUUGUAAACUGCUUUUGUACGAGGACAAACGCAGAUACGUGUACCUGACUGAAAGUAUCUUACGAAUAAGGAUCGGCUAACUCCGUGCCAGCAGCCGCGGUAAUACGGAGGAUUCAAGCGUUAUCCGGAUUUAUUGGGUUUAAAGGGUGCGUAGGCGGUCGGAUAAGUUAGAGGUGAAAUCCCGAGGCUCAACUCCGGAAGUGCCUUUGAUACUGGUCGGCUAGAGAGGAGGUGCGGUAGGCGGAAUGUAUGGUGUAGCGGUGAAAUGCUUAGAGAUCGUACAGAACACCGAUUGCGAAGGCAGCUUACC
rnacentral:rRNA from 1 species